GAUGAACGCUGGCGGUAUGCUUAACACAUGCAAGUCGAACGGACUCUUCGGAGUUAGUGGCGGACGGGUGAGUAACGCGUGAGAAUCUGGCUUUGGGUUCGGGACAACCGCUGGAAACGGUGGCUAAUACCGGAUGUGCCGAGAGGUAAAAGAGAAAUUGCCUGAAGAUGAGCUCGCGUCUGAUUAGCUAGUUGGUGAGGUAAAGGCUCACCAAGGCAGCGAUCAGUAGCUGGUCUGAGAGGAUGACCAGCCACACUGGGACUGAGACACGGCCCAGACUACUACGGGAGGCAGCAGUGAAGAAUUUUCCGCAAUGGGCGAAAGCCUGACGGAGCAAUACCGCGUGAGGGAAGAAGGCUCUUGGGUUGUAAACCUCUUUUCUUAGGGAAGAACAAAAUGACGGUACCUAAGGAAUCAGCAUCGGCUAACUCCGUG
rnacentral:rRNA from 1 species